rnacentral:rRNA from 1 species
ACGAACGCUGGCGGCGUGCUUAACACAUGCCAGUCGCACGGAAAGGCCCUGCUUUUGUGGGGUGCUCGAGUGGCGAACGGGUGAGUAACACGUGAGUAACCUGCCCUUGACUUUGGGAUAACUUCAGGAAACUGGGGCUAAUACCGGAUAGGAGCUCCUGCUGCAUGGUGGGGGUUGGAAAGUUUCGGCGGUUGGGGAUGGACUCGCGGCUUAUCAGCUUGUUGGUGGGGUAGUGGCUUACCAAGGCUUUGACGGGUAGCCGGCCUGAGAGGGUGACCGGCCACAUUGGGACUGAGAUACGGCCCAGACUCCUACGGGAGGCAGCAGUGGGGAAUAUUGCACAAUGGGCGGAAGCCUGAUGCAGCAACGCCGCGUGCGGGAUGACGGCCUUCGGGUUGUAAACCGCUUUCGCCUGUGACGAAGCGUGAAUGACGGUAAUGGGUAAAGAAGCACCGGCUAACUACGUG